UAGUGGCGAACGGGUGAGUAACACGUGGGCAAUCUGCCCUUCACUNUGGGACAAGCCCUGGAAACGGGGUCUAAUACCGGAUAACACCUGCCCGGGCAUCUGGGUGGGUUAAAAGCUCCGGCGGUGAAGGAUGAGCCCGCGGCCUAUCAGCUUGUUGGUGAGGUAGUGGCUCACCAAGGCGACGACGGGUAGCCGGCCUGAGAGGGCGACCGGCCACACUGGGACUGAGACACGGCCCAGACUCCUACGGGAGGCAGCAGUGGGGAAUAUUGCACAAUGGGCGAAAGCCUGAUGCAGCGACGCCGCGUGAGGGAUGACGGCCUUCGGGUUGUAAACCUCUUUCAGCAGGGAAGAAGCGAAAGUGACGGUACCUGCAGAAGAAGCGCCGGCUAACUACGUGCCAGCAGCCGCGGUAAUACGUAGGGCGCAAGCGUUGUCCGGAAUUAUUGGGCGUAAAGAGCUCGUAGGCGGCUUGUCACGUCGGGUGUGAAAGCCCGGGGCUUAACCCCCGGGUCUGCAUUCGAUACGGGCUAGCUAGAGUGUGGUAGGGGAGAUCGGAAUUCCU
rnacentral:rRNA from 1 species